UACGUAGGGUGCAGACGUUAAUCGGAAUUACUGGGCGUAAAGCGUGCGCAGGCGGUUUGCUAAGAGAGAUGUGAAAUCCCCGGGCUUAACCUGGGAACUGCGUUUCUAACUGGCAGGCUUGAGUGUGGCAGAGGGGGGUGGAAUUCCACGUGUAGCAGUGAAAUGCGUAGAUAUGUGGAGGAACACCGAUGGCGAAGGCAGCCCCCUGGGCUAACACUGACGCUCAUGCACGAAAGCGUGGGGAGCAAACAGG
rnacentral:rRNA from 1 species